GAUGAAGAACGUAGCAAAAUGCGAUAAGUAAUGUGAAUUGCAGAAUUCAGUGAAUCAUCGAAUCUUUGAACGCACAUUGCGCCCGCCAGUAUUCUGGCGGGCAUGCCUGUUCGAGCGUCAUUUCAACCAUCAAGCCUUCGCUUGUGUUGGGGCCCCGCGGCUGCCGCGGUCCCCUAAAUCCAGUGGCGGGCUCGUCGUCGUACCGAGCGCAGUAGACAUCCUCGCUCCGGGAACCCGACGGGUGCCGGCCGUGAAACCCCCCACAUCAAGGUUGACCUCGGAUCAGGUAGGAAUACCCGCUGAACUUAAGCAUAUCAAUAAGCGGAGGA
rnacentral:misc_RNA from 1 species